CCUACGGGCGGCAGCAGUCGAGAAUCAUUCACAAUGGGGGAAACCCUGAUGGUGCGACGCCGCGUGGGAGAAUGAAGGUCUUCGGAUUGUAAACCCCUGUCAUGUGGGAGCAAAUUAAAAAGAUAGUACCACAAGAGGAAGAGACGGCUAACUCUGUGCCAGCAGCCGCGGUAAUACAGAGGUCUCAAGCGUUGUUCGGAAUCACUGGGCGUAAAGCGUGCGGAGGCGGUUUCGUAAGUCGUGUGUGAAAGGCGGGGGCUCAACCCGCGGACGGCACAUGAUACUGCGAGACUAGAGUAAUGGAGGGGGAACCGGAAUUCUCGGUGUAGCAGUGAAAUGCGUAGAUAUCGAGAGGAACACUCGUGGCGAAGGCGGGUUCCUGGACAUUAACUGACGCUGAGGCACGAAGGCCAGGGGAGCGAAAGGGAUUAGAUACCCCAGUAGUC
rnacentral:rRNA from 1 species